UACGAAGGGGGCUAGCGUUGCUCGGAAUUACUGGGCGUAAAGGGCGCGUAGGCGGACAGUUUAGUCAGAGGUGAAAGCCCAGGGCUCAACCUUGGAAUUGCCUUUGAUACUGGCUGUCUUGAGUUCGGGAGAGGUGAGUGGAAUGCCGAGUGUAGAGGUGAAAUUCGUAGAUAUUCGGAAGAACACCAGUGGCGAAGGCGGCUCACUGGCCCGGUACCGACGCUCAUGUGCGAAAGCGUGGGGAGCAAACAGG
rnacentral:rRNA from 1 species